UACGUAGGGUGCGAGCGUUGCCCGGAUUUAUUGGGCGUAAAGGGCGCGUAGGCGGCUCGGCACGUCCGUUGUGAAAUCGCCCGGCUCAACUGGGCGGGGUCAGCGGAUACGGUCGAGCUUGAGCAAGCUAGGGGGUAAUGGAAUUCCCGGUGUAGUGGUGGAAUGCGUAGAUAUCGGGAGGAACACCAGUGGCGAAGGCGGCGAUCUGGGAAGAUACUGACGCUGAGGAGCGAAAGCGUGGGGAGCAAACAGG
rnacentral:rRNA from 1 species